CUCUGACAAGCAACUGCCACAACUGAAAAAUUGCAGUUACUGGGCUCUGAGGAGCAACUGCCACAACUGACUUUUGGUGGAGUUGUAGGUUGAAAACACCACUGCUCCUGCUGGCUCCCACCACUGAGGCAGCUGGGUUCCGGUAACAACCCUUUUCAUUAAAGUCAUGAUAGGCAGGAUAAAGCGGGACAGGCUUGGUGCAGUGGGUUUUAUUGAUGAUGCAGAAGCUGAAGCAUCUGAUGAAUGCUGCUGUCAGCAGAAUGAGGACAGAAGAGACCAGGCCACUGCUGGGAUCAACUUUCCAAAUGAUAAUGAGACUUCAAGACAAAGAACUCCAAUGAGAGUCUAACAAAGGUGAAAUGAAUUCUUCAGAUGAAAGACAAUCAACAGAUGUCAUUCAAGAGUGGACCACAGGAACUUCCCUACUAAGCCCAAGAACUUUCCCAAUUCCAUUUAUUGUUCUACAGACUAGCAAAGCAGCAUGAACUAACAAAGUAGCAUGAUUGACUUAGUACCACAGUGAAUGAAACAGUGUUUGAAGACAUGGACAACGGUGACUUACUCAGACAACUAGCUGCCCAUGUUUACGUUCAGGCACCUACAUUUGUGACGUUGCAUUCCUAAAAUGAAUGAUGCACUUUCCUUAUUGUACUCAAAGUAGCCCAGCCCGACAGUGCCACCAUAAUGAACAAUGCUUCAUUUACCAAAUUCAGUGGAAAGCUAGUGCAGAUUGGGUGCUAUCAAAAAAAGGAGGAAAUAACAAAAAUGUGUAAGGGAGAGAAAGAGUAAAAGCUAUGAUCAAUACACCAAAAUGGAAACUUCUAAAAUGGAAUAAUUAGAUGCAUAUAUUAUUUAGGAAAAUCAGACCAGGAUUAUUAAUAAAACAAACUGUGAAU